AUUCAAUCCCUUGCUGAAGUAGCCUCUGGUCAGGAAUACAGGUCUGCAAUGCUGCUGGUGCAGCUUACAACACCAGAGGGAUAACUUUCCUGCAGUACUACAAAACAGCUUCCCUGGAAGAGGUGCCUUUAUGCUGUUCCACAGCACCAAAGAAUGAUGUUCGUGGCCUUUUUGCACACAUUCACCAGUAAAAGAGCGGGAGUAACUUGCCCAAAAGUCCCAUCAGCAAAUCUGCCCAAGCCUGGCUUCAUCUUUAUGUAAGUUUUUAAUUUUCUUUAAAAUUCUCCAGCAUAGCAGGUGUUGCUGCUGGGUAAGUGUUGUGAAAGGGUCCCACAGCAGGGCUUGCUGUUCCUCUCUGUUUAGGUGAAAGUGUUUCCUAUUGUUACUGGCACUGAGGUGUGUGGACUCUUCCAAGGCAGGCUGCUUAGAACAUGAGAAGUGAUGGAAUCAUGCAAGACCCUUGUGGAAUCAUGCAAGAGCCUUGUUGUCACUCCCUAAGUGGACAGAAGGGAUUGUUGGUGGGGGCAAAUCCCUCAGCAUCAGCCUGCCUAACCAACGGCCUGGUUUCUGCUUUAUGCUGGGAAUUGGUGUUUUGGCUGCCCAGAAACUACUUUGGGAAGGACUUGUUCCUUAGAACAGAUGAACCACAUACUGAGAAAAUGAACAGGCCAGAUUGUCUAGUGCUCCGCACCCACCGCUGAAGACAGAUUUUCCGGAGAACUCAGUUUCCAAGGAGGCAUCUAAAUAAGUGACAGAUACUCAGAAGUGGAAAUGUGCCCACUUCUUUUGGUGCUCAACUAGUGCUAGAGCUGCUCUGAAAAAACUUGCUCUGAUAUGGCUGUUCUCUUUCACUUAUGCCACAAGACUUCCACAUCUCCUCUUUUGUACUCUAUUUAUGGCUCUCUGCCAUGCUCACCCUUGUGCCAUACUCCAUCCCACAGGUCUCAGCUGACCCUCUUCUUGUUGCCAUGUCUCUCUGCACCAUUAAAAGGUCAGCAUGUAUAUCAUGUAUAUACAUUCACAUUUCUGUCAAGGGCCAUCAUGGCUAUUGCCCCCAAAUACAGAACAUAAGUGCAACAUAAAUUAAUUGUUAAGGCUAAUGCUGAUUGAAGUUUGGUAAUUCAGCCUGCAGGAUACACCAUAUGUUUGAAGAGUAUUGUCCAAGUUUAAAAUCUAAACUCCCAAGGGCAGGGACCACUCCUUCCUCUAUGUUUACAUAGCAUCAAUGAGAAAAACAGUGCUUGGGUCUGAUAUACAUUAACCUCAGCCAAUGCAUUGUUAAGUUUAAUAAUGACAUUAAAGCACAAUGGAUAAAAUAUAUAGACAAAGACUUUUCUUGGCAGAGAUUUUUGUCAUGUUUUUGAUGCCAGGUUCCUACCCAAGUAAAUAGUCCCUGGUCAUAUGAAUCAUUGGCAUUUUCUUGAAAAAUUCACCCCUUAUAUUGCACCAUCCUGGUUUUCCCUUGUGCAGCAAUUGACACUAAGCCAUGGAUCACUAUUUAGGGUAACUAAGCCAGAGCCCACCUAAAUGAAAAGUCUGGAACAGGAAGGCACCUAAAUGAUGUGCCAGACAGUGAACCUAGGGAAUCACAGAGCCAGGGUGUAAAUGGGCAAAGGAAAAUAAAGGUUUUGACUACAAAAAUUUAAUGUCAUUUCUUAUUAUUUAUCUCAUUACUUUGUAGUUCCCAGAAACCACAUUCAAAGGUUACUGUACACAGGCCCUCCAGCGGGAGCAUAAGAGAGCUCUAGGAAUAAAUCCAAACUCCAUCUGAACUGACAGGCUGUUUUUCAGUGCUAGUUAUGCAACAUGUUAGUACCUCUAGGUAUAGGACCAGUGGGAUUUAAACUUGUACAGCAGAUGGUCCGUGCAUCAUUGCUGGAAUGCGCCUGCUGACCCUAGGGCAGAGCCUGAAUGGACUUCAAAAGAGAGACUGAGCAUGCUUCAAAGUGUUAUUGUUUAAAUGUUCCACUAAAUGGGGACUCCGGAACAAAAUAUCUAGCUGAGGUCAGUCUGAAAAAUGUCAACACGCAUAAUGAGAAAACAGUAUGUUGUGUGAGAAAGAAUAUUUCAUAGGGGUAUUCUGGCUAUUUUGAGUUGAAAAAAACCACCUUUUUUCAUGUGUGUCAGCAGAUCGUCAUAAUCCAAGUGUCUUUCUGCAUGAGCUUCAUUUGCUUUUGUUGGAAAGAACAAGGUCUGUAUGUGAAAGUCAUAAAUACCUUUGGAAAGUGUAUUUUGUCCACAGACAGGUACACUGGGAGAGCUAUCAACCAAAGUUAUGGCAAAGGUGUGUUCCAAUACAGCAUUGACAUAGCCCUGAUAGCCAUCCUCCCACUCAUUUCAGAGGAAAACUUGUAAGGACCUUGUGUUUGGUUUGAGAGUGUGAUCCUGGGAUUUCUGAUCAUUACUGUGCUCUGUUUUGUUCCUCCCAAAGCCCAUAAUGCCUGCUCAUAGCAUGUUCUUUCACCAGGGUAAUCCACAAGUUUUGGCUUCUCUUAAUGCCAUUUAGGAAGGAUUUCAGUAGGAAAGGGAUUGGGUUCAUGUUUAAAUCAGUAGGUUUAAUAUCAUGAAGGAAGAUUUCCUAGGCAAGUCAACCUUAAUGAGAUCAAGACUUCAGUAGAAAAUUCAAGAUUCAUCCUUUGAUUUGCUGGUCCCUGAGCUGCAUCUUGGGCAUUGCAAAUAUCAACGGUCUGGUAGCUUUUGGUCUACAAAAGCUUUCCAUGCUGGCCACUGGCGGUUCAACAUGGGUGGUUAAAACAUUAUUUCCUUUGCUGGAAGCAAGGAGCAGCAAACCUGAACUUUCAUAGCAUCUUGUCCUGCUGGGGCAUGCCUCUAUCUUGAUGGAGACACAUUGCAAUAACACAGAUUAAAAGCUAACCCUCCCUGCAGACGUAAUAAAGAUCCAAUGCCAGGAAGAGCAAACAAGACUCAUGUUAAAUAAAGGGGAGGCUUGUUUCUUUCACAUAUCAAUAUUCAGUAAGAUCAGCCAACUUGGCAUGCUGGGGUGAAAACAAAGCCACCAGCCAAGGUAAAAAAAUGAAGGGCUCUGAAGUGAGGUGUUGUUAAACCAAGAAGGUAACUUGGGCUUGUUUGUAGAUUCUCUGUGUCUAUGUAACAUGUUGUAACUGACACAAAACUUGAAUAGCAAUCAAUGUAAGUGGGUCAAAAAUAGCAUCCACACCCUCCUGGUUGUUGCACCCAGUAUCACUACUCAGCUGUUAGCUGUGGCCCAGAUUAAGCAAAAACCCUGUAACCUUACCUAACUGAGUGUGAAUUCAGCAAAGCUUUCAGGCUUUGGCUUAUCUUCAGUGUAUGCUUAACUUCAGUAAGUAUAGAAACUCUUUGUUAAAUAAGGCUUUUAAACCUGCAGAGAGCUGAUAAAAAAAUCAUAGUUUCACCUGUUUUAUCCUGUUUGCCAAGUGCUACAAAUAGCUGAUACUCGAUGUGUAGAUUGUUGCAGCUAUUCAGUGGCCAAAACUCAGAAGUGUGUCAGUAAGUUAAAGGUGAUCUCUUAUCUCAGUGUUCCCAAAGCAGAGAAGUUACAACACAUUUCUGAUUAACAUAAUUUGUUUUAGGAAUUCUGGCUCCCUGGAAAUAUUGUCACUCCAAAACAAAUGCACUCUGCAAAUUCUCUGAACUUCAGCUUGUUAAACUGCUCAUGAAGAACAAAAAGUACGAGUCAAGACAUAGUGAGUUUGUGACAAAACUUUGCACAACAGGGAAAUAAACUCCAGUAAACCAAAGGAAAAGAUAUUCCCUCUAUUACUUUGUUUGCAUUUUUACUCGAGUAUAAUAGGACUAUAACCAUUUUCUGUCAACAGCUUACAAAGAAACUUGUUCUGAAAGUGAUCCAUAGUGAGAACUUGAAUCUAAAUUGGGUACAUCUAAAUUAGACUGAAUACAGAACACUCCUAAAGGUAGCUUUUGGCUAGAGCUAGCCAAGGAACACAGAAAAGAGUUCACAAAUAUUGAAAGAAAAAACACCCCCAAACCUCAGAGACUCCUCCCUCCAUAUGCUCAUUGUACAGGAGUAUUUUGGGGAUAGAAUGUUUAUUUGGGUUUGCACUUUGCAAAGGCUAGUGGUCCCCAGUUCUUGGCCAGAACGUGCUAUUUGGUAUUCUCCUCUUAGAGUGCAAAAUAUGGCCAGGUGUUUUGCUGAACAAGGAAGGACUUAUAAAUGCACUGGGCAAGGCCUACAACACUGCAGCUCUGGCUUCAGUAGGUGGCAGGGAGUCUUUAAAUUCUCUUGCUCAUUUGCAUUAAGCAAACAAACAAAAUUACCAAACUGUGAAGCCCACAAACUAUGUAUGUAGCCAGGCUACGUAAUCACAAGUUCCCCUUAUGGUUACUUUUAUCUUCCCUUUCACUCACUUGCCUAUAUUGCUGCUGGUCUUUAUUCAGCCCCACAUUCUGCAAACAUUUAUGCACGAUUUACUUCAUGAUUUUAAGCAGUUGCAGAGUGUUCAAUAGGUGUUAAAUAGAGAAUGAGCUAGAACACAAUAGAACUGCAUAUCUGCACAGAUCAGACUAAACCCAGUGAAGUUACAGCUGUGCAGAAAGUUCAGACAUGGGGAAGAGUUUGCAGGGUCUUAGCUUGUAGGAUCUACCAGAGCUGGCAGUUGUGUUUGUGCAGCACCUGGCACAAAGGGACUCCAAAUCUGACCAGGAUCCCUAGAUCCCAAUACUGCAAGUAAUGAACUGUUCCAGGGACUAUAAUUAGGCACCAAAGAACAAGUACUCAGAGUUCACAAAGACUCUAGCACUGGUAUUGCCAAUACAUCUGACAUUCACAUCUGUAGAUUGUUCAUUCAAACACUGCCUGAUUUGGAAUACUAAAACAUUGCUACCACCCAUCAGCUGCUACCCAACCUCUUUAAAAUAAACUUUCUUAAUGGGCAUGUGCCUGGAUCACCAAAGAGACUAUCAAACUUGGCACUGCAGAGGGAAAGCCAAGCCCGGUGCUAGUGAUGGCUCUGCAUUCUUACUCUCAGGCAUGCUGUCAUCAGGUCAAGGUUGUGGCACAGUGACAUGGGGCAUGAGCUCCCUGCCUGCACACUGCCUGUCCAGCAUUUAAAUCAUCAUUAUUCCAGGCAUUUGUUGCACACCAUGGUGCAGGGGUACACAUAAUAUCAACUAAAGGAAGAGUGGAUGACUGUGAGCACUUUGUCAUGGCUUCAGUGGAUAUUAGCAGUGAGAACAGUGUGCCAGGCUGAGGGGCCCAGCCAGCAGCUGGCAAAGCAUGUUUGAUGGAGCUUUGUGAGCACAGACUAUGCAAAUGUAUUCAAAGGAUGUUCUUGAGGCAAAUUGGUUGGAGCUAAAUUUGCCCAGAUGCUCUUGAAUCUGCUUA